GACGAACGCUGGCGGCACGCUUAACACAUGCAAGUCGAACGAGGUCCAUCCACUCGCAAGAGUGGUGAAGACCUAGUGGCGAACGGGUGAGUAACACGUGAGAAACCUGCCCCGAAGACCGGGAUAACUCACCGAAAGGUGAGCUAAUACCGGAUGCCUUCACGACGUCUCAUGGCGAUGUGAAGAAAUGGAUUCCGCUUCGGGAGGGUCUCGCGGCCUAUCAGCUUGUUGGUGAGGUAACGGCUCACCAAGGCGACGACGGGUAGCUGUUCUGAGAGGAAGAUCAGCCACACUGGGACUGAGACACGGCCCAGACUCCUACGGGAGGCAGCAGUGGGGAAUCUUGCGCAAUGGGCGAAAGCCUGACGCAGCGAUGCCGCGUGCGGGAAGACGGCCUUCGGGUUGUAAACCGCUUUCAGCAGGGACGAAAUUGACGGUACCUGCAGAAGAAGCUCCGGCCAACUACGUGCCAGCAGCCGCGGUAAGACGUAGGGGGCGAGCGUUGUCCGGAAUUAUUGGGCGUAAAGGGCUCCUAGGCGGUUCAGUAAGUCGACUGUGAAAAUCCAAGGCUCAACCUUGGGACGCCAGUCGAUACUGCUGUGACUCGAGUUCGGUAGAGGAGUGUGGAAUUCCUGGUGUAGCGGUGAAAUGCGCAGAUAUCAGGAGGAACACCAACGGCGAAGGCAGCACUCUGGGCCGAUACUGACGCUGAAGAGCGAAAGCGUGGGGAGCAAACAGG
rnacentral:rRNA from 1 species